rnacentral:lncRNA from 1 species
AUAAAGAUAGCACAAAUCCAAACCAGUAAGUACUAAGUACAUAUAUUACUUCAAUUUUCUUUUAUAACUAUCAUCAUAUCAUGCUCUUGGUUUUAAUUUGUUCAUAAGUAAUAACGAUUGAUAGCUGCAACUAGAAACCUGCCCAUCCAGCAGGUUUGGUCGAAGCAGCGGGCCUGAUCGAAGCAGUAGGCUUGGUUGAAGUGGCCGGCUUGACUGAAGUAGUAGGCUUGAUUGAAGUGGCUGGCUUGGCUGAAGUAGUAGGCUUAGUGGAAAUGACUGGCUUAGUUGAAGCGGUUUCGGAUUUUUUUACCUCACUGUUGUUGUACCGAUGGGAGGUAUUUCCCUGAGGAAUAGGGGCUGCUGUGAAACUCUCCUUCCCAAAGCCCCAGGUACCAUUUGUACUAGCACCUGUGCUUGAAGGUCCACCACUUCCUUGACGGUUGAUUGUUGUCCGAACUGAUUUGGGACGACUUCCCUUUGUGGUGGACUGAUUUGCUAAUGGCUUUGGCUCAUUAGCAAAUGGUUGCCAUGAGUUUUGAUCUGGAUUUGAUGAAAGGGGGACAUUUGCAAACAUUUCUUGCUGGAGUUCUAAUACAGAUCCUUCAAUUUUUUCCCUCUGCCGUAGCAUGGAAAUAACAAUUAAAUUGUUGAACCAACCAAGAGCACAUGAAGAGUUCAUUAGGGAUAAAAAUUUAAAAUACCUGAGAGGAUGGUGGCAAGCUCACACCAGUAAUUUGGUGUCUCUUAUUGUCUUUGUUUGGUGAAGAUUGCCUCACUUUAGUAACUUUCUGCUUUAACUCCUGAAUCUCUUGCCGUUGGGAACGGCAAAUAGAGGACAAUUUUUCGUACUUGGAAUUUAUCUCAGUUUUUUCUAAAUUAGAUUGCUUCAGCUGCUCCUUCAAUUUAUCCACUUCAACUAAUAACUCCUUUUCAGACUUACUGUUAUUAUUACCGUUAGCAGUACUAAGUUUUGUAGUGUCAAAAUCAGCAACGAAAGUAUUGAAUGCUUCAUUUCCAAAUGUAGGUGUUUUCUCGGACAAUGAUGAUCUGAUUUUUGAAUUUUCAACAUGUGAUUCCCGUGUCUUUCCUGAACCACUGUCGCUAUCAAAUCUAAUUUCAAAGUCCUCAUUGGUAUCAUACGAUUUGUUCAAGGGAUUCCCAGAAUUGAUUUUGUUCAGUGGUUUUUGAGGGUGUGGUUCUCUUGGAGG